rnacentral:rRNA from 1 species
GACGAACGCUGGCGGCGUGCUUAACACAUGCAAGUCGAACGGAAAGGCCCCUUUGGGGGUCCUCGAGUGGCGAACGGGUGCGUAACACGUGAGUAACCUGCCCUUGACUUCGGGAUAACUUCAGGAAACUGGGGCUAAUACCGGAUAGGAAUCCUUGCUGCAUGGUGGGGGUUGGAAAGCUUCGGCGGUUUUGGAUGGACUCGCGGCUUAUCAGCUUGUUGGUGGGGUAGUGGCUUACCAAGGCUUUGACGGGUAGCCGGCCUGAGAGGGCGACCGGCCACAUUGGGACUGAGAGACGGCCCAGACUCCUACGGGAGGCAGCAGGGGGGAAGAUUGCACAAGGGGCGGAAGCCGGAUGCAGCAACGCCGCGUGCGGGAUGACGGCCUUCGGGUUGUAAACCGCUUUCAGCAGGGGCGAAGCUUGUGGUGACGGUACCUGCAGAAGAAGCACCGGCUAACUACGUG